rnacentral:rRNA from 1 species
AGCGAACGCUGGCGGCAGGCCUAACACAUGCAAGUCGAACGGUCCUUCGGGACAGUGGCGGACGGGUGAGUAACACGUGGGAACGUGCCCAAAGGUUCGGAAUAGCUCCGGGAAACUGGAAUUAAUACCGGAUGUGCCCCCUCGGGGGAAAGAUUUAUCGCCUUUGGAGCGGCCCGCGUCUGAUUAGCUAGUUGGUGAGGUAAAGGCUCACCAAGGCUACGAUCAGUAGCUGGUCUGAGAGGAUGAUCAGCCACAUUGGGACUGAGACAC